UGGCGGGCGAGGGAAACCCCGCCCGUCCGCGCACCAUCCCAACUAAACUCUCGGCGCGGGACGCGCCAAGGACUACUCAAACGGAUCGCCGGCCUCCCCGCGGCUUCCGCGGGGCGAGCUGCGCGUCUGGUCGUUUAACUAAAACGACUCUCGGCAACGGAUAUCUAGGCUCUCGCAUCGAUGAAGAACGUAGCGAAAUGCGAUACUUGGUGUGAAUUGCAGAAUCCCGUGAACCAUCGAGUUUUUGAACGCAAGUUGCGCCCGAAGCCAUUAGGCUGAGGGCACGUCUGCCUGGGCGUCACGCAUCGCGUCGCCACCCCCCUCCUCGCCCCGCGCGGGAACGACGUGGGUGGCGGAUGUUGGCCGCCCGUGCCCUCCGCGGCGCGGCUGGCCUAAAUGCGAGUCCUCGGCCCGGGACGUCACGGCGAGUGGUGGUUGAACUCAUCAACUCGAGAGCCGUCGCGACGACGCCCGACGGGGAACUCUCCGACCUUGGAGCCCUUCGCGAGCCCUCGACCGCGACCCCAGUCAGGCGGAU
rnacentral:rRNA from 1 species